UCCAACCAUUCCUUUUAUGAACUUCGGUAAAGGUCUAUUGUUUCUUCAGACAGUCCUGCUGGGUUUCCUGUGUGCUUUACGCUGACCAGGAAAAGUAAGAAGGCUGAGAUCAUGAAGGGCGUUGCCCGAUGGACGUGGGAAUCACCGCCGGACAUCAGGGAUGAGCGAGGUUUGGAGUGAACAUCACAGGUUCAGGUGCACAGGGAAGAAAAGCAGUCAGAAGGGCAGGGACUGCGGCCACCGGAGAGCAAGGCGACGCCCCCGCCCAGGCGUGAAGCACACUCCCCGCGUGCUGGCUGCACCACAGAACCCCAGUCCAAGUGAGUUGUUCGUUACAGCCCGGAAGCUCAGUGAACGGCACAAAAAUUAAAAUCCAGAAUCCGGUCGUUAUCCACCCAGGUCUGUGACGACAACAGCAAGCCCCAAGGCGCAUGGGCUGUGGGGUCCGCGCUGGCCAGUCCUCGUCAUCCUGCUACUUCCCGGAUAACCUGCAGAUCUGGCUGGUUCUUCCGAGGGAGGAUGGUGGCUGCUCGACCAGAUGUCCCCGGGACAUGCCCUGUGGUCCCACGUCUCCUGCCUUCAGCCCACCUGGGCCUUCAAGACUGGGAUGCUCCCGGACACUGGGAGCAAGGAGGCUCUGCAGGGAGGCAAUUUCCCUCGCUGCAGCACUUACCAGCCAUCUCUAGAUGGCGCAGAGUGGAGCAAAGAUUUGGGCCACCCUCCAGCCAAGCUGGGAAGGAGCAGAGGCCGGAAUGGAAGAACGCACAAGGCUUGCUUGGAGUUGUGCCCGGUCAAGAGGAGCACAAGGUAUUUGAAAUGAGAUGCCCGGACAGAGUUCCAGGAGCCCUGGGGGAGCCCCGCCUGGGGACACCUGAGCCCAAAUCCUCCAGGUCUUCCCCGGUCCAGGAGCCCGCUUUGUGUCCCUGGCACAGGGGAAGCCAAGGAGCCCGAGACUGCAACCACCCUCCCACCCCGCAAUUCCCCAGGCCUUGAACGUCAAGCAGUGUGCAGAAGGUGCUGGCCCACAGGGGCGAAGCCCAGGCCAGCCAAGCACGCACAUAGGAGGUCCCUGGUGGGGGUCCAUGAUGCCAGGCACCCUCCCAACCGACACGGCUAGUAACAGCCCCUGGGCCUGAUGCUGGAGACGCCUCUGCAUCCCUCCGGGUUUAGAGCAGGCUGCACCUGCAACCCGGCCCCAUGGCUCUGGCUGCGGGCGUUUCUGGUAGGCAACAAUCUCCCACCCCACCUGACCUGGGCCAAUUGGUCAGUAGCAGCAGGCUGGGCGUUCAGGAUGUGCUUGCCAAGUGGACUGGAAGGAAGUGACCAGAAGGAAAUGGAGACGCAGAGAAACAGGGCCACCCUGCCCCGGCCCUGCAGGCCUGAAACCCUGUCACCCCUUCCUGGACCUCUGCCGCAGCUCCCUUGCCCUGGGGCAGCAGGACAGACCACCACAAGGAGAGCUCUUGCUCCCCGGGGACAGCACAGGGUUUACUGACACCAGUGACCGGCCGAGGAGAAGCA
rnacentral:lncRNA from 1 species